GUAGUGGAAGCACUAAGAGUUUUGAUCUCUUCAGGCAGGGUUCGAGUCCCUUCUUUCUA
rnacentral:tRNA from 1 species